rnacentral:rRNA from 1 species
GACGAACGCUGGCGGCGUGCUUAACACAUGCAAGUCGAACGGAAAGGCCCUGCUUUUGUGGGGUGCUCGAGUGGCGAACGGGUGAGUAACACGUGAGUAACCUGCCCUUGACUUUGGGAUAACUUCAGGAAACUGGGGCUAAUACCGGAUAGGAGCUCCUGCUGCAUGGUGGGGGUUGGAAAGUUUCGGCGGUUGGGGCUGGACUCGCGGCUUAUCAGCUUGUUGGUGGGGUAGUGGCUUACCAAGGCUUUGACGGGUAGCCGGCCUGAGAGGGUGACCGGCCACAUUGGGACUGAGAUACGGUCCAGACUCCUACGGGAGGCAGCAGUGGGGAAUAUUGCACAAUGGGCGGAAGCCUGAUGCAGCAACGCCGCGUGCGGGAUGACGGCCUUCGGGUUGUAAACUGCUUUCGCCUGUGACGAAGCGUGAGUGACGGUAAUGGGUAAAGAAGCACCGGCUAACUACGUG